GUGUGUUUGGUUCCACGUAAAACUGUGGAAAAAAAAAAAUUUUGGUAGAAAAAUAAUUUUACGUUGUUUGAUGUUUGGUUUGUAGGAAAAGAGAAAUAAUUUUUCAUUACGAUUGUUUGAUUGAAAGAAAAAAAAAAUAUAAAUAAAAAUUAUUAAAUAUUUUUUUAUUUUAUAUAUUUUAAUAUAAUUAUUAUCAUAUUACAUAUAUUAGUAUUAUAGUUUAUAUUUAUAAAUAAAAU
rnacentral:lncRNA from 1 species